GAAAAGAAUUAAGUUGAUGAAAUAUUAUUAAAUUGAUAACCGUGAAACUUUCAACCAUCGGUUUACAGUUAAGGAAAGGGCAAACUAAUUUAACUAUUGAAUAAAGCAGUGAGACUUGAUGAUGACCACUCCACCGAGCCAUUCCAACUUGGAGAAAGGAGAAAGUUUUCUUUUCUUUUCUUUUUUUUUUGUUGUUGGUGUAAACAGACUUUAAACACCAAUGGAUCUGUCCAAAAAGAAAAAAAAAAUUAGACUAGAUUAAAGUCUAAUCCUCCUUGAACGGUUUCACUAUCCAGUGUUGAGAAAAUCAUAAUAGACCAGGAUUUGAGAAAUCUUAAACAAUUUAAUAACUAUAACGAGACACUAUCCAGUGUUGGUAUCUAGAUGCAUUAUUACUUGCUUGAUUAAGACCUUGAAUUUUUUAUAUUUCUACUUUCAAUAAUUAUGAGAGUAAAUUUUAUAUGCACUGACAGUGUAUAUACUAUCACGGUUGAAUGCACGACACAUGUGCAAAAUUUGGGUUUCAAAUUCAAAUUCGAAUUAUGUGUCAUGCAUCAAAUGGUGAAAGUGAAUAUACUGUCAGUGUAUGGAAGAUUAAUUCUUAUUAUAAUUGUGCCAUUUUCUUCCCUCUAAUGAAAUCUGGAUUGCUAUAGAAUUUUUCUAUUGUUGAACCAUAUAAUUUAUUCUAAGAACUUCCAUGUAGGGAUGGCAAUGGGAGCGGGUGCCCGUGGGCACCCGCCCUGCGGGGGGCUCUCGGGGCGGGGGUUGGGACGGGGGCGGGGGGGAAUUUUUCCCCCCGUUUAGAAACGGGGCAGGGGGCGGGAGAGUAUACCCCCGCCCCAUCCCCCGCCCCGCCACCCGCAAAAAAAAAAAAAUAUAAUAUGUAAUUUAAUUAGUUAUAAACUUAUGAUAAUGAUAUUAUUAGUUAGAUGUAUUAUAUAAUGUAUAUUAGUGUAUGUAAUAUAAUUGAUAUUAUCAAUUAUACGAAUAAUUAGACAUAUCUACUAAUAGAAUUUAUUAAUUAAUUAUACUAAAUUUCUAAUUACACUUAAUAGAAUAACAUUUUUUCUCAAAAACAAGCACAAACAUAAUAAUGAAUUAGUAAUUGUAUUUGUACCAAAAGUGAAAACUUAACUAUUUUAGUUAUAUUUAUUUCAUCAUGUUGAAUUGUAUUCAAAUAAUUUUUAUUUGAUUGUUUUUAUGAGUUUCCAUUGUAAAAUUACAAUGAAUAAUAACUUGAUGAUGUGUUGAUAUUUUAGUAUUUGAUUAUUUAUUAAAAUUUAGCAAUAAUAAAAUUUUAUUAACCCUGUGAAAAAAAUUUUAUUAACCCUGCGGGUGCCCCCGCAGGGGAAGCGGGGCGGGGGACCCCCCCAACCCCGGCCCGUUGCCAUCCCUACUUCCAUGUUUCAAGUCUUGUUGCUUUAGAGUGAAAAAGGGUUGGUAAAGAUGUUGAUCAGGUAUUAUUAGACCAAACAAAUUUAGAACCACCAGAUGUAGGCUUAAAUUGUAUUUUAAAAAAAAAGCUCUAUCAAAUAAAGCAACCACCUAUCAAUAACCAAAUUAAAUGAACUAUCAAAUAAAGCAAUGGGACCUGAAGGUGAGCUAUUAGGUAAGCCAUUGUCUGUUGUAAAAUUUUAGAAGUGAGAAGAUCAAUCUUAAUACACUAAAUUAUAGAUAAAUAGCCUAUUUUCCAUAUAUGAAAUUAUGUAUGGAAAAAAGUAACAAAAGCAAUAGUAUAGUAUUGAUCAAUCAAUAGAAACAAAACUUUCAACCCUUCACUCUUUUCUAUUGAAUACUAUAAUAAAAUAUCCACUUAUAGUUCUUAUUGCUUGAUUAAUAAGAAAUAACUAAUACAUUUAAAAAAAAACUACCAAAUACUUGACUAAAAAACUGUUAAAGAAUCAAAUAGAAUUUUUAUAAUUGUUAGACUUGAUUAUUCUAAAUUAUUUUCAUUAAACUAUGCUCUCGGUUCAAUCAGGUCCAAGCAAGUCGCUGGUGACAUUUUUAUGAAAAUCAAUUUACAACCAAUCCUCAUCUUACAAAAAAAAAAAAAAAAUAGUUGUUGUGGCAUUCCGGCUUUGUUUUAGCGACUCAAUUCGAUAUAAAUUCAUUGGCCACUUUGAAUAAUGCCUCAAAAAACCCCUGCUUUAUAAUCUUCAUAAUCAUAAAUAAAUUUUAUGAUACAAUCUCUAUAUCUGUCAUAAAACCCAAAAAACAAUAAAUUCCUUUUUGAUUUAAUAUAUUUGCUUAAGUUCUAAUAUCCAUAACCUAAUACUUCAAAACAAACUGUCUACCCUAUUUCAACAAUCAAAACUUUUAGUACAAACAUUAUUUCCUAUCUCUAAAUAAUCACUCUACGUCUAAGGAAUUUCCUAUAUCUUUUCUAAUAUCAAGACUAGUAGUAUUAUUUUGUAAUAAUUGACCAGAGAUCAAAAGUUUUAGAGGUUUAAUAAACUCUUGGUUUGGUAAAUCUACGGGAGAAUCUGGUAGAUCUUUGUCUACUGGGUUUAUAUGAAUUAAUUUUAAUGGAUCUAUGGAUUCUGAAUAUCCGGCGGAAAAUUAGACGCAUCGAGCAAAACCCUCAGACAAAAUCUUUUCUGAAUAAAUCAAUCACCAAACAAGAGGUUCAGGCAGAGUCUGCUUCAACAAAAUUGGUCAUUCAUGAAAUUGAAAUCAGGAUUGACCAAGGGGCAGCCUAUACCCAUGCCAAGAAAAUUCUUACAAUCUAUCCAGAAAAAUGCCUUUACAAUCUUUUUACCCAAUUCAUCCCAAAAACUCCUCUUCCAAAUACCUACUUCUCAAACUUGCUUUUCACACCUCUAGAAGACCAAAAAUUUUGGAUUAAACAAAACUUUCCAAUUCCUUUACCCAAACAAGAGUUCGAAAUUCAAAGAACUUCCUUGAUUAAAACCAAACAAAACAAUCAAGGAUCUUCUAUUCUCAAUAAAUCAUAUACCAACUCCUUUUUACAAAAUUAUACUUUCAACCAAGAAAACAUCCAAAAACUAUACCACCCUCAAAUGAUUCAUUCUGAUAUUCUCAGAAUAAAAUCCAAUAUCCUUCAACACUCAUACAAUAAGGAAGACAUCUAUGAAUGGAGCAUAGAUGAAAUGACCAGAUACAAUCUUCCUAUGACAUCUCAACAAAUGACAACCACAACUAUGUUUAAUCAAACAUUACAUGGCUGCAAUCAACUAAUUGCUCAUGCCCUAUUCAUAGGAUUUAUUGGGCAAUUCAAAGGCUGGUGGGAAGAAUAUCUCAUCAUUGAGGAAAUCAACAACAUAAGUUGUUCUAUGUUUUCUGAGAAUACUAGAACAUCAUCAAUAUAAACGAUAAUGAAAGAGGAAUAAGGACUAAAUAUUUCAUUCAUAAUCCUUUGGAAUUCAGAAGGAGCAUUUUUGAGUCCAAAUGGCAUUACGUUCCAUUCAUAAUGUCCAAAUGGUACUGUAAAUGCCGUUUUGUAUCUGUCUGAGAUAUGAAUCUGAAUUUGCCAGAACCUUAACUUCAUAUCGAAUUUUGAGAAUAUCCUGGCAGAAUAAAGCCUUUGGAGUAAAUCCAUCUUAGGAGUCAUCCUCACCAGAACUCAUAAGUCCAGUCCAAACAACCAUAUCAAAACAUGCAUCCUCUAUGUCAAAAACCAUAAAAACACAAGUUCCUACACCAGAUCUCAUAGAUCAGGUCCAAACUAAGCCAAAAUCAGAAGAUCUAUCCAUAGAUCAGCCUCAAACAACCUAUAUAUCCUCUCAUAAAUAUUCAGAAUCCAUAGAUCCAUUAAAAUUAAUUCAUAUAAACCCAGUAGACAAAGAUCUACCAGAUUCUCCCGUCGAUUUACCAAACCAAGAAUUUAUUAAACCGCCAAAACUUUUGAUCUCUGGUCAAUUAUUACAAAAUAAUACUACUAGUCUUGAUAUUAGAAAAGACAUAGGAAAUUCCUUAGACGUAGGAUAUUCCACAAUAAAUGUCUUAACUAAAGAUCAACCUAGUACCAAACCUAUCACUGUUAAAGAUCUUCAAACAGAAAUUGCUAUUCUCAAUAAGGAAAUUAAAACAAUUGAAAAAACAGCCACUGAAGAGGAAAUCAUUAAUAAACCUUCUCAGUCAAACAUAAUAUAUGGUAGAUCUACAACUUAUGUCUUUCUCACACAUAUGGAAGAUCUAUCUAUUUCGCACACAUAAAAUUACUUGUGGAGAAGAGAAAUGAAAUCAACAACAUAAGAUAAAGGAGAAAUAUAUCUCUCAUUUAGUUGUUGAGAGUGAGCCAUCAAUUGAAAUUGCUCCACUUGCCCAUAGAAAUUGGACUUGAAAGUGAAUUUUUUGUGAAAUAAGUUUUUUCUUUUUUCUUUUUCCCUAUGUAGUAUCUUAAGUAAUACUUUUGUAAUUUAAUAAUUGAAUUAUGUCUCCAAAUAUUUGGGAAAACCCUAAUUAUACUAUAAAAGUGAUAAAAAUCUUCACGACCAUGUUUAUGAAUUCUAGAGCUGUAAAUGAAUCGAAUCGAAUCGAGUAUCUCAUGUUUGAUCUCUGUUCAUUAAACUAUUUGAUCAAGGCUCGUGUUCUUUCGAUAAUAUUCGAGCUCCAAAUCUAUGUUCUUGUUCUACUCGUUAUGCAAAAUCUAUGUUCGAAUUCAAGUUCGAGCUCAAACGAGCUGUUUGUGAACAGGCUCAACAUGUUCAAAUCUCAAAUUUCUCUCAUAAAAUAUCCAAUUACUUGCAUUUUAACAAAAAACCACCUAAGGUCAAAAAUCAAAAGACAUUUGAGAAGAAAAUAACAUAAAUAGUCAAGAAGUGGGAUGUGGUUAGAUCUUUCUCUGAUAGAUGAGAAUUUACAAGAUUUUCACUAUCAAACCUCACUAGAAUUUGUAUUUAAUUAUGCCCUUACCUAUUAUGGUUUCCCAAAACUGAUUAGGUAUUUCGUCUUCAAUGAAGUUCCAAAUUAAUGACAUAAGUUUACAAGCAACCUGGAUCGCACAUCUAUCUAAAUCAACAUUUUAAAAUUUUCAAAAAUUCUAACAAAAUAGGCAACAAGAAGAAAACCAUAAUGGGCUGUGGUUCUUAAGCACAACUGAUAGAACAAUUUAGUUGUUAGUAGCAUCCUAGAGGAUCCAAAUGAAUUCAAUUCUCAAAGUCAAAAGACAUUUGAGGAGAAAAUAACAUAAAUAGUCAACAGCUAGCUUAUAAAGUAACCCUAAAAUUGUUAAGAUUGAAAAUCUAAAAUUCAACAAAUUAGAGCUAAACAAGAUCGAAGUUUUAAGCAAACAAAAUUAACAUACCUUAAAGAGACGGUGCUAAGCAGCUCAGACCCUCGGUGAUGACGGCAAUAAGGAUUGUGGCCAUUUGUAGCAGCCUAGAAGGAGAAGGUUUGCAGGUGUGAAAUUGAAAGAGAAAUUUGGGAAGGUUUGGUGGUAGUGAGACAAUGGUGGUGAUAGACUUGACGCUGGCCAAUGGGCUAGUGGUGGUGGCAGCUAGCGCCUCGGCUAUUAGGAAGAAGUGAAGAUCGGAAACUUUCAACUUUGUAAAGUUGGACUAUUAGAGCU
rnacentral:lncRNA from 1 species